CUUCAAUGAGAUGAAGUGGCCAAGGUGCCUACAGUGAACCUUUAAUGUUUACUAGCAGCAGAAAGGAUAUAUCAUUGAUGGUGAUAAUUUAAUCUGCAUGCAUCCUACAUAGACGUUGGUGUUGUUAACCCUUUCAUGCAAUGCUUUAUUGAAGGAACACUCCCACCACCAUAACAACUACAGUUCAUUGUAGUGUUUAUUGUUCCAAGAGUGCCCUGGCGCCCCCUUCCUCCAUCAUAAGGAAUCAACCUGUUUUUGAGCAGUUUGACUUCUUACGUGGGAUACAUCAGCUGUGAUUUUUUUUUUUUUCUGUUACAAAUAAUAAUUUUCCUCUUUUACAUUGUGGGAUUUACACUCCGCUCUUAAAAGCACAUUAUUACCUUUUGCAGCAAAGGACCAAGGGCCUUAUUCUCUGCUACUGCCCUGCCAUGUGUUGCACGGCAAGGGCAUUCAGUGAGACCAAGUGGAUCUUAAAAUAUUAGGGUGUCAACUUCAGAGAUAGACCCAUGUCCAAGCACUGAAUCUGCAGUUUACAAAUGUAAAUAAAUUUUCUUUGUGUAGAUUUUAAA